rnacentral:tRNA from 1 species
AAUUCGGUAGACGCUACGGACUUAAAUAAUUUGAGCGUUAGUAGAAAAACUUACUAAAUGCUAGCUUUCAGAUUCAGGGAAACUUAGGUUGAUAAAAAUAUAAGCAAUCCUGAGCCAAAUCUUAUUUCGUUUGAAAAUAAAAUAGGUGCAGAGACUCAAUGGAAGCUAUCCUAACGAAUAACAUUUUAAAAAUUAUUUAAAAUUUAUUUUUUAGAUAUUAAGCGAGGAUAAAGAUAGAGUCCAAUUUUACAUGUUAAUUUUAGCAACAAUUUAAAUUGUAGUAGAAAGAAAAUCCGUUGGCUUUAUUGACCGUGAGGGUUCAAGUCCCUCUACCCCCA